ACUCACACCUAAGCUUCAUUAGGGCAGGGGUGUCUAGAUCUUCACUGUCGUGUCCUCAGCACCGAGGAGAGUGUCUGGCACACAGUCAGUGCUCAGAUGAGAGCUGCACCACUCUGGCAAUUGCUUGGAGCAUGUGAAGUGGGGAUCUUCAUUCAGCAGGUUAUCUGGCCCUUACCUGAACACCUCCCCUGAUGGAGACUUCACUGCCUAACCAGGCGGCCAAGUCCGUUCUUGGACAUCUCUCACUGUCCAGACUGAUACACCGAGCUGUGGAGAAGAGGGAACCUGGAAUCGACGGAUGGACACUGUGUCUUCUUGGACGUAAGAAAUGGAGCAAAUGCAACAGAAACAACAUUCGAAGAGGAAAUCGAAGAAAACGUCACCAAA